rnacentral:rRNA from 1 species
UACGUAGGGGGCAAGCGUUGUCCGGAUUUAUUGGGCGUAAAGAGCGUGUAGGCGGCCUGACAGGUCUGCUGUGAAAACUCGAGGCUCAACCUCGAGAUGUCGGCGGAAACCGUCUGGCUAGAGUCCGGAAGAGGAGAGUGGAAUUCCUGGUGUAGCGGUGAAAUGCGUAGAUAUCUGGAGGAAUACCGGUGGCGAAGGCGGCAUCCUGGACCGACAUUGACGCUGAAGGCCGAAAGCUAGGGGAGCAAACGGG